rnacentral:rRNA from 1 species
AUGCUGAACGGAUUACAACACACAAGUGGGGCGACAUCACCAUUCUCGUUCGAGUUGUUAAGACAGAUUACUGAUAAUUUUUCCGAUGACCGCAUAAUUGGUCAUGGUGCAUAUGGAGUGGUUUACAAGGGAGUAUUGGAUAACGGGGAAAAGAUUGCUGUGAAGAAGCUUAAAUACAUGCCUCCAGAAUACGACAGCGAUAAGCAGUUUGAGAAUGAGUGCACUAACCUCAUGAGAGUCCAACAUCACAAUAUCGUGCGGUUAGUUGGCUACUGUCAUGAAACACGGCGUGAAUAUGUUGAACACGGUGGAAAAUACAUUUUUGCUAGCGAGGACAAACGAGUUCUCUGCUUUGAAUACUUGCUGGGUGGAAGCCUUGACAAACACGUCUCUGACGAGUCAUGCAAACUUGAUUGGAACACGUGUUACAAAAUAAUUAAGGGAGUCUCUGAGGGUUUAAAUCAUCUUCAUAAUGAUUCCAUUUUCCAUUUGGACUUGAAACCAGCGAAUAUAUUGCUGGACAGCAACAUGAUGCCCAAAAUUGGCGAUUUUGGUUUAUCAAGAUUCUUUCCGUCAACAGAAACAUACACCACAACAACAUGUUAUGGAACACUCGGAUACAUACCACCAGAACACAUCAACAACCAUCAAAUCUCGCCAAAAUAUGAUGUAUUCAGUUUGAGUGUUAUAAUUAUACAAAUAAUGGCAGGACGCAAAGGCUACAAUGAUCAUGGAGAUACUACUUCACUCAAAUUCAUUGAGUCUGUAUGUGAGAAGUGGCAAAAAAGGGUACAUGCAACGAUGUGGUCACACAUAUUACAAGAAGUUAAGACAUGCAUCGAAAUAGCUUUAAGCUGUGUGGAAUCUGAUCGGCAGAAAAGGCCUACUAUAAGCCAGAUUGUCAAUGCACUUAAGAGGAUUGAUAUUGAAAAAUUGUCACUUACGUGUGAGGGCCAGAGCAUGCAGGCCUUGGUCCACAACCAAUAUACGACCUCCUCACCUUCUAUGGGGGUCCAUGAUGGUGGCACUAGAUUUGAGUCAACACCUGACAAGGUGGGAGGGGAUGAUAGAUCGACGCAUGCAAGUAUGUACCAGGAAACUGCUGAACCCAUGGACUAUGAAUACGAGCCUAUCAUUAGGAACCCAGCGCCUAGUGCUAUUGGAGGGCAUGCAGAUAGAGAUAUUUGGGAGCUUCAAAUUGUGACCCAGACAAGCAAGGACAACAUCCUUGACUAUGGCCCGAGGAACUCAAAUAUAAGGGCGGAAGGCAGCCUUCAUACUCCAGUCACCAUCGGUAUAAUGGAUGCUAUUGGGGUUAUUAGUGGCUUCAAAGAGUGUGACUAUCUUUUUCAGUGGGCUAGAUCUACUAUUUUAUCUCAAUUUAGCGGUACAAACGAGCAAGGGCUCGAUGAGGAAUUAUUUCGAUUGAAGAAUGGCCUACAAUGCCUUAGGGAUACUCUUCCCGCAAUGUAUGAACUCAUUGAUCGAGCAGAGUGGAGGAGCCACAAGCAUUAUGUGGCAGAGCUCCUUCCAAAACUCAGGGAUGGAGUGUAUGAUGCGGAAGACCUUCUUGAUGAGUUCAGAUGGUACAUACUGAAGGUGAAAGUGGAUGGGAAUGGAAGCCAAUCUUCAUUCAUGGACUUCUUCAAUAGUGUCAUUCGUGGGAGCUUUAACAAAGUGGAUGGUAUUCAGAAAAGGCUAGAUAAUAUUUACAUGCACCUCCGUGGUAUGGGGUUGCAUGAUAUCACAAUACGGUUUGACAAAUCAGUCAGGCCAGAGACUAGCUCUUUCCCAAAUGAAACAAAAAUAUUUGGUCGUGACAUGGAGCUAAAGCAUAUAAUUGAAUUGCUUUGUGCACCAAUAAAUAGUAGUGAUGCUCAUCCCAAAUGCCAGAAAGGAAAUACUGCAGUUGAUGUAUCACCAAGUACAUCAGCAAGAAACCAAAUUGGUAGUGAAUCAAGAAUAUCAGAUCUUCCUGUUUUACCCAUAGUUGGAAUUGGGGGUGUCGGAAAGACCACUCUGGCUCAACAUAUAUGUAGUCAUGAACAAGUGGAGUCUCAUUUUGACAUAAUAAUUUGGGUUUGCGUCUCAGAUGACUUUGACGUGAAGAGGUUAACUAAAGAGGUCAUACAGUCUUGUCCUGAAAAAUAUGCAACAACUGAAAAUUUGAAUUUGCUUCAGAAGAACUUUUCUGAGAUUGCAAGAACUAAAAAGUUAUUGAUUGUUCUGGAUGAUAUGUGGGAUGAUGUUUUGAAGGAAAAUGGGCAGUGCUGGAACAGGUUUUGUGCACCUUUAAAGAAUGUACUACCGGGAAGUAUGAUGCUGGUCACUACUAGAAGUCCACAGGUUGCUCACAGAGUGGGCACGAUGGAUCCCAUUACAUUGCAAGGUUUAAAGGAUGAUGUUUUUUGGAAUUUUUUCAAAUUAUGUGCUUUUGAAUCUGGGAGUUCCAGCAAUAAUGAUCCUGAGUUAGAGCACAUUGGUAGAAGGAUAGUUCCUAAGUUAAAGGGUUCUCCUUUAGCCGCUAAAACUCUUGGACGAAUAUUAAGAAUGAACCUUCAAGUAGCACAUUGGAAUGAUGUACUAGAGAGUGAACUGUGGGAGUUGAGCCAGGAAGAGACUGAAAUUUUGCCAGCCCUUCGGUUGAGCUACAUGUAUUUACCUUUCCAUUUGAAGAGGUGCUUCUCAUUCUGUGCCGUGUACCCCAAAGAUGAUAAAUUUCAAAAGGAACGUUUAGCUGAAAUUUGGGUGGCAGAAGGCUUUGUUGAACCUCAAGGUGAUACUCCACUUCGAGAUAUUGGCUGUGAUUACUUCAAUGACCUUUUAAAUCGGUCCUUCUUUCAAGAAGUUCAAUGUGAAUACUUAAUGCAUGACUUGCUGCAUGACAUGGCACAGAAAGUUUCAGAGCAUGACUGCUUCAUAUUGAAAAGAAGGAGUGACUUAAAAAAUAUUCCUCCUAGUGUUCGCCAUUUGUCAAUACUCUCUAGCACAGACAUGGACUAUCCCAGCUUGUUGAGUCUAUGUCGCUUCACAGAGCUCCGUACCCUUCUUUGCAACGGGCCUUUAGCGGAGAACAAAAUUCCAGCUAGUUUAAUGGAGAAAUGGUGGAGUGAACUUCUACGUCUGCGUGUGUUUGUUUGUGCCACUACUAAUGAGUUACCAGCUGCUAUUGGAAACUUGAAGCAUCUUCGGUACCUUCAAAUCUCAAGAGCUUCACCUUUCAAGAGUCUUCCUGACGAGUUAUGUUGGCUCUAUAAUCUGCAGAUUUUAUCUGUUGAUAAUUGCAAGCUAGAAAUCCUGCCUAAUGACUUCAGUAAUCUGAUAUGCUUACAGAGAUUUGAAUCACAUGGAUUUCAGUGUAAUUUAAGGUUUAGAAGUUCCCGGGCAGAAGAACUUUAUGAAGUGAGUGCUGAUGUAGCCAAUGAAGCCAAUGAUGAGCCCGGGCGAGGAUUUAGAGGCCGGGGAAUCCCUCUUUUCGAAAAAAAAGAAAAAAAACAGAAUAAGAAGUAUCUUGAGAUGCUGAAGCUGUCAUGGUCUGGGUUGAGGUCUCCAGAGGACAAUGACAUAGAAGUACUUCGAGUUCUACAGCCUCCCACCUGCCUCAAGUCUCUGCUCCUCCAUGGUUAUCCAGGUGUGUCGCUGCCAACCUGGUUUCCAACUGAGAUCUCGCCAAGCUUAAUGCCACCUUUGUUUAUCAGUUGUGAUGGACACGAGAGAUCAUCAGCAUCCCGUAUCUCAGAGCGUAUAAACUUAAGUGAGAUACCUGAGGUGCUAGUUGACAACAAUAAUGAUAUCACCAGUAUUUUCUCGUCGCUGACAGACCUGGUCAUUGUUAAGUGCCAAAAUUUAUCAUGCCUCGAACAUGUUGUACACGUACUGGCCAUCAAGAAAAUCACAGUUAAAGAUUGCAAGAACUUAGUUUCAGUACCAGCUGAAAGAUUUAGGGAUCUCCGUUGCCUUGAAGAAUUGACGGUGCAAGGAUGUCCAAAAAUAUAUUCACAAAGUUUGGUUUCACCUUCUCUCAAGAGGCUUAUGCUGGGUAUGAAUGAUUGGUGUGUUGACCCUAGUUGUGGGAAUCUCGGAGAAAAUGUUGACUGCUGCUCCCUCACGUACUUUUCUUUGUCAUGCAGCCGUCUCACAUCCAUUAAACUACAGAUGUGGAAUCUUCCAGCACUAGAAGAGUUGCAGAUUUCACGAUGUCAAUUUCUUAAAUCUAUUAUUGGACAAUCUGGACAGGUCCUCAGAAGCACGAGCGGAUCUAGAGCAUUCCCAUCCCUUAUUUCCCUAACAAUUUUGUCGUGUUCUAAGCUGUGGACCAUUGAUGAUCUCCUAGCAGAAGAAUAUCUACCUGCCAUUGAAAGAAUUCUUAUUGAAUCUUGUGGUAGUUUAUGGUCCCUACCCGAUGAAAGGUUUGGGAAUAUUUCUUCUCCGAGGGAUUUGAGGAUCACUGAUUGUCGUAGACUGAGCUGGAAGAAGGGAUUUCUGUUACCAUCUUCCCUCCAAAGUCUCACCUUAAAUAACUGUGGGGAUAUCUCUGCAUGGGUUCCCAGCUGCCUAAAAAACCUUGCUUCCCUUGUUACAUUGAGGAUUUGUAUGUGUCGCCAUAUAACAUCCAUUCCAGGCAGCCUUUGGACCACUAAUCUCACAUCACUUGAGAACUUACUGAUUUGGAGUUGUCCAGACAUUGUAUCAAUUGGUGGAGAAAACGCAAUUUCAGAAAUACAAAAUGUAUCGAUUCAAUGGUGUUGUAAGAUGGAGGAUCUAAAGCAGCCCGUGGUAAGAGGCAACCUG